rnacentral:lncRNA from 1 species
AAGAAAUGGUCCCUCCUGGCGAGAUCAACUGAUCCGCUACCCUCGAGAAAAUAAUCUCUUUCCCCCUCCUAUUAUAUCCUCCGGCGAACUAUCAAAAAUAUUCGAACCACUAAAAAUCAGAUCCAUCUGAGCACCACCCGAAGCCACCAGACUCUAAACCUAUUUGACCACGAUUCAUCUUUCUUCUUACCUAUAUCGAGAUCCUGCUCAAAAAAUAAAGAUACUGAUAGCAUUGUUGGCCCCAAAUCUGGUAGAUCAGGAAAACACACACACAUAGAUAUUAACAAAUAUCAGAAAAACGUGAUGGAAGUGGCUCCACUACCAGUAUCUUGCCAAAAGUUUCCCGGCAUCUUUCGCCAUUUGUAGCAACGUCUUGAUAUCUUCACCCAUUUACUUUGUCUUGUUCAUUUACUGUUGCUUCUUCAAAGCUCUGAUCCCCCCCCCCCUCCCCCCGUCGUUG